UAAUAAGUGUUUUAUGGCACUUUUUAAAUCAUAUCCACCUUGUGUGCAAUGUCAGGUCGAUUUCUUUUUUCGUAGGAUCGACCAAACAUCAACUUAUUCUAUUGAACUCUUUGUCUGAAAACUAUUAUGAAUAAACUAAUUCAAAAUA
rnacentral:misc_RNA from 1 species